AUGCUCGCUUUGGCAGCACAGAUACUAAAAUUGGAACGAUACAGGGAAGAUUAGCGUGGCCAAGGAUGACAAUAAAAAAAUAAUAAUAGUGAUUCAGUGAU
rnacentral:snRNA from 1 species